rnacentral:rRNA from 1 species
UACAGAGGUCUCAAGCGUUGUUCGGAUUCAUUGGGCGUAAAGGGUGCGUAGGCGGCUAUGUUAGUCAGAUGUGAAAGCCUGGGGCUUAACCCCAGAAGCGCAUUUGAUACUGCAUGGCUUAUGAGGACUGGAGAGGAGAGUGGAAUUCACGGUGUAGCAGUGAAAUGCGUAGAUAUCGUGAGGAAGGCCAAUGGCGAAGGCAGCUCUCUGGACAGGACCUGACGCUGAGGCACGAAGGCUAGGGGAGCAAACGGG